rnacentral:rRNA from 1 species
AACGAACGCUGGCGGCAUGCCUAACACAUGCAAGUCGAACGAGACCUUCGGGUCUAGUGGCGCACGGGUGCGUAACGCGUGGGAACCUGCCCUUAGGUUCGGAAUAACUCCCCGAAAGGGGUGCUAAUACCGGAUAAUGUCUUCGGACCAAAGAUUUAUCGCCUUUGGAUGGGCCCGCGUUGGAUUAGCUAGUUGGUAGGGUAAAAGCCUACCAAGGCGACGAUCCAUAGCUGGUCUGAGAGGAUGAUCAGCCACACUGGGACUGAGACACGGCCCAGACUCCUACGGGAGGCAGCAGUGGGGAAUAUUGGACAAUGGGCGAAAGCCUGAUCCAGCAAUGCCGCGUGAGUGAUGAAGGCCGUAGGGUUGUAAAGCUCUGUUACCCGAGAUGAUAAUGACAGUACCGGGAGAAUAAGCUCCGGCUAACUCCGUG